rnacentral:rRNA from 1 species
ACGAAGGGGGCUAGCGUUGCUCGGAAUCACUGGGCGUAAAGGGCGCGUAGGCGGCCGUUCAAGUCGGGGGUGAAAGCCUGUGGCUCAACCACAGAAUUGCCUUCGAUACUGUACGGCUCGAGACCGGAAGAGGUGAGUGGAACUGCGAGUGUAGAGGUGAAAUUCGUAGAUAUUCGCAAGAACACCAGUGGCGAAGGCGGCUCACUGGUCCGGUUCUGACGCUGAGGUGCGAAAGCGUGGGGAGCAAACGGGA